ACGCUGGCGGCGUGCUUAACACAUGCAAGUCGAACGGAAAGGCCCUUCGGGGUACUCGAGUGGCGAACGGGUGAGUAACACGUGGGUGAUCUGCCCUGCACUUUGGGAUAAGCCUGGGAAACUGGGUCUAAUACCGGAUAGGACCACGGUCUGCAUGGAUUGUGGUGGAAAGCUUUUGCGGUGUGGGAUGGGCCCGCGGCCUAUCAGCUUGUUGGUGGGGUGAUGGCCUACCAAGGCGACGACGGGUAGCCGGCCUGAGAGGGUGACCGGCCACACUGGGACUGAGAUACGGCCCAGACUCCUACGGGAGGCAGCAGUGGGGAAUAUUGCACAAUGGGCGCAAGCCUGAUGCAGCGACGCCGCGUGAGGGAUGACGGCCUUCGGGUUGUAAACCUCUUUCGGUAGGGACGAAGCGCAAGUGACGGUACCUACAGAAGAAGGACCGGCCAACUACGUGCCAGCAGCCGCGGUAAUACGUAGGGUCCGAGCGUUGUCCGGAAUUACUGGGCGUAAAGAGCUCGUAGGUGGUUUGUCGCGUUGUCCGUGAAAACUCACAGCUCAACUGUGGGCGUGCGGGCGAUACGGGCAGACUGGAGUACUGCAGGGGAGACUGGAAUUCCUGGUGUAGCGGUGGAAUGCGCAGAUAUCAGGAGGAACACCGGUGGCGAAGGCGGGUCUCUGGGCAGUAACUGACGCUGAGGAGCGAAAGCGUGGGGAGCGAACAGGAUUAGAUACCCUGGUAGUCCACGCCGUAAACGGUGGGUACUAGGUGUGGGUUUCCUUCCUUGGGAUCCGUGCCGUAGCUAACGCAUUAAGUACCCCGCCUGGGGAGUACGGCCGCAAGGCUAAAACUCAAAGGAAUUGACGGGGGCCCGCACAAGCGGCGGAGCAUGUGGAUUAAUUCGAUGCAACGCGAAGAACCUUACCUGGGUUUGACAUGCACAGGACGCCGGCAGAGAUGUCGGUUCCCUUGUGGCCUGUGUGCAGGUGGUGCAUGGCUGUCGUCAGCUCGUGUCGUGAGAUGUUGGGUUAAGUCCCGCAACGAGCGCAACCCUUGUCUCAUGUUGCCAGCACGUUAUGGNUGGGAACUCGUGAGAGACUGCCGGGGUCAACUCGGAGGAAGGUGGGGAUGACGUCAAGUCAUCAUGCCCCUUAUGUCCAGGGCUUCACACAUGCUACAAUGGCCGGUACAAAGGGCUGCGAUGCCGUGAGGUGGAGCGAAUCCUUUCAAAGCCGGUCUCAGUUCGGAUCGGGGUCUGCAACUCGACCCCGUGAAGUCGGAGUCGCUAGUAAUCGCAGAUCAGCAACGCUGCGGUGAAUACGUUCCCGGGCCUUGUACACACCGCCCGUCACGUCAUGAAAGUCGGUAACACCCGAAGCCGGUGGCCUAACCCCUUGUGGGAGGGAGCCGUCGAAGG
rnacentral:rRNA from 2 species